GGUCCUAGGUUCAAAUCUGGCCUCAGACACUUCCCAGCUGUGUGACCCUGGGCAAGUCACUUGACCCCCAUUGCCUAGCCCUUACCACUCUUCUGCCUUGGAGUCAAUUGACUCCAAGAUGGAAGGUAAGGGAUUAUUUUAAAAAAAAAGAUAUUAAGAAAUGAAAUUAUGUAUUAAAAGCCUAUAUUUUGUGCAAUUUUGGGGGAUGGAAAUUGGCUUCAAAGGAAGAUUUUAAUAAGUGAUAAUGGAGUGACUGAUUCUUCUACUUCCACCCCUGAUUCCAUUCCUUCUUGUCUUUUCUAGAUUUUUCAAAUAACCCUCCCUUCUUUCAUAGCAUCUUCAAUCUGUAUCUUGCUUCUCCCUUCUUUUAUACUUACAAAUGUACUUACAUAUUUAUCUUUAAAAACAAUACUCCCAAAAUCUUCCCCUGAUUCUUUUAAUCCCAACUAGCUACUGUCUCAUUGAUCAUUUUAUUGCUAAAUUUCCCAAAAAGUUGUUUAAAUUCAGUGUCAUGCCCCCAUGCUUAUUUACCAAUUACUUUCUCCUUCCAGUCCUUAAAAUUUAUUUGUCCCUCUUUAAUACCAUUCCCUUAAAGGCCACCUAAAUGCUAAGGCAUAUGAGUUUUUCCAUCUUCAAACUGUUUUGGUUCUCCUUCUGCUCAGUAACUAAUCUCUUUGUUGGCUUUUUUUCCUUAUCUCAUUGUUUUGUUCAUGCACUUCUCUGUGUACAGUCUGGUAUAGUGGAAAAAAGCACUGGGUUUUGAGGUAGAGGAUGUAGGUUCAUCUCACCUCUAAGGCUUAUUUCCUGAGUAAUUUUAAAGUCAAAUACAUAACCUCUUUAAAUUUUAGUUCCUUCAUCUCAUUGAGGGAAUUAGACUAGAUGACCUCUUAAGUCCUUUCUAGAUUAAGAUCUAGGAUCUCACUCUCCUGGGACAACCUUCUUGACUUUCUUGGCUUUAGCUAUCUGUGCUUUUGCUUUCAAAUUGUUUUUUUUUUGUUUGUUUGUUUUUUUAACUUGUCCUCUUUCCUGCUCAACUUUACCUGUUGGAUUCUUUCUUUCUCAAUCCUUAAAGGACAACAUUAAUGACAGUUUUUCAAUGAAGUCUCCCUGAUUGCCAUGGUGAGCAAUGAUGUUCUCACUCAGAACUCAGAGAACUUUUCUUUUCUUUUUUUUCUUUUUUUUUGGUAACUGGCUUUGGAAGAAAGAGUGAAGCUGAAGUCUUUGUGCAACUCUGCCUACUUAAAUCUAAUUCAUUUGGGAGUCAAGAUAUCACCCCAUGGUGUCUUUGGUCCUCUUAGAAAAAGGAAAGAUGAAGAACAAUAUUCUUACCUGUGAAAUCUACAGAAGAUCACAAUGCACAGUUCCAUUUGUAGAAUGGCAGCCUCACUCUGGCAUGAAUUUUCUCAGAAAUUUGAUGGAAGGGGGUGCAAGUGGGGGCAGGAAUAGGAUUCCGUGAAAUUUGAAUUUGAAAAGGGAGUGAGGAUCAUGAUUCAGGCUUUGUGGCUCAGAUAAAUCUUCCCUCAUUCCCCAAAUACAAGUUCCAAACAGACCUAAUAGACUAAAAUAAUGGUUAUUGGACUACUUCCAUGAGUAAUAAAAUUGGAGUGGAUGACCCCCAAGAUCCCCUCAAGCUUUACCAUUUUACUGGCAGUUCUUUGAUCUCCUGGAAUGACUUUCUGACACUAGAGGUGGGACCUGGGCCUGUGAUUUCGUUGGCACAGAGAAUAGGUUCUUAUUUGUUAUUCAUUGGAGUAGGCUAAUGAUCACAAUGUACUUCUCUCAACUUCUUUAUGAUAUCAAGUUUCAGUUCUUUGGAGACCGUGUCUUACAAUCAUAUAACAACCAAGAAUGCUGAUAUUAAAAGGUUGAGCCGUCGUUUCUGGAGAAAUUAGGCACAGUAGAGCCAACUCAUUUGGACUGCAACAUAACAGAUGUGAUUACAGGGGAGGCUGAAACAGCACAAAUGGGAACAAAGAUGGGAAAAGCAGCCAGAUUACAAGUGCUCAUAGAGAGUCUCCGCUCUGGAGGUGACCCAGCGUGAGAUCAGUUCUGGAGGGAUCUUAAAGAGAGGAAGAUACCAAAGUUGUGGAAAAACGUCUCUUGCCUUGUUAGUACUGCAGCAAAGUAACACAAAGAACAUUAAUAACUCCAGAACUACAUGCCUUCUUUUCCUUCUAUAUACAAUUUUAUUAUAUGUCCUUGAUGAGGACAUUAGUGAGAAACAGGCAUGUGCACAUACAAAUAUUUAUAUGUAUGUUUAUAUGUUAAUAUAUGCACCAUCCAUAUAUACCUGGGUUUAUAUAUACAGGGCACAUAUUUACACACGUGUGCGCACAUGAAUGUAUACAUGCAUGCAUUUACAUGGACACACAUGUAUAUACACAUACAUAUACAAUUGGACCUCAUUUUAUGUGACCAAUAAAUGCAUUCUAAGACAUUUUGCGUAAGUCAAAAAUUGUGCAGAAUAGGGAACCCCAGCAUUUAAUAAGUAUUUCUUUUAUGAACAUAUGGAGGCAUUUCACGACUUUUCUUAGGCUUCUCAGAGCUCCCAGCAUCACUACUCUUGCACACGGGGGCCACUAUUAAUAACUGAAUAGUAUUAAUGAGACAAAGAGAAGCACUGCUCUGACGUAGACAUGACUUGUUACGAGUAAGAACUCCAGACAAAGGCUGAUGUGCGCACUUAAAUUUCAUGUGAAAUAAUGUACUAGAAUAUUCGACUGUGAUUGGGAAACUGCUUGGAGACUUUACUUGGGAAAACGGUGUGGAUUUAGCAUGUAAUGAAAUACAUUUAUUUUACCUAUUUUCUGCCUUUAUUUUUUUAACUGCUAAUUACAUAUAGCUGAAUUUGCAUGUGUCAAGUUCACAUAAAUGCGGUCCUAUAUUGCAGACACACAUGUAUGUACACAUGUAUAUUUGCACACACACAUAUGCAACACACUAUACGUAUAUGUGUUUGUGCAUACACCCCCCCCCACACACACACCUGACAGUGAUGGGGGCUUGAAACAACUAUAAUAUCAUAGCAUGUGCUUCUUCCCUGGUUUUUCCAUCUGAUGACUCCUUUGUCAUAGAAUCCUGAUUACUCAGCAUUUCCUAGGGAAGACCAGACUGAAGCUUAGUUUGUCAGAGAAAACCAAACAAUCCUUAUUUACCAAACUGUCAAAAUCCUAUCAUUGCAAUUAAGGGGAUAGGCAAUUAACUGUGUCUUAAUUACAGCAGCUGCCACUUCAUCUGAAUGCUGUAAUUUGCAGAGAAAAUGGGGGAAAACUUUAAAUUAAUGUGUGUCUUUAAACAACAGAAAACAUUGCUAGAGCCUGAAGAAAAUUGUCCACAGUGGACUGUGAGAUACCUCGAGAAAAGUGCUAUUGUUGUAAGAUGUACUCACAGGACAAAGAUGAUUUCCAUUC